rnacentral:lncRNA from 1 species
CUUCUUCUGGUUAGAGGCUCCCAAGAGCAACAGGAAGGCCAGAAUAUGGGAAGCUGAUGAGGAUAGGAAACCCUUAGAAAUCAUACUGAGUCCCUGCUGAACCUCAGAGGCUGCAGGCCAACUGCUGUUCUGAAGUUCUGGACUUGCACAGCAAGCCUGUCUACUGAAUGGCCAUCACGACCCAGAUUUCACAUCUCCAGGUACCUGGGGCUGGAGCGGGGUUUCUUCCUCCCUGUUUGGGCUGCCUGGACUAAGGCUAUAGCCAGAGUCUCCUUCUCUUUAGUGACUGCCAUGUCAACAAGGCAACUGUAGACCUCCCUCAGAGGAGGCAGGUGAAAGAAGACAGCCUUUCGGGGCAACUCUCUGGCUAAUGGGAAGCACAUUGAUGAAGGAAGCCGACUGACUUGAAAAAUCCAGCACCAGCAUGCAGGCUGCCUUUAAGGCUGGAGGAUUAUGGCCACUUGCAAUUUUCUUGCUAAUUAAAGUUUUCAUAGGAAAAGCAAACACAUAUCUACACAUGUAUGUAUGAACUUGCACGCUGAUUGUAUUUCAGAAGCAGUGGGCUGAAUGCUUUGGUUGCUGGCUUUCUUUGACUCCACCACUCACAUCUGCGCUGUGUCAUUGACAGCUCUGGCCAUGGCCCCAGGGCACUCUGCAGGGGUCAGAAUAAACAGAGAAAAACAGCAGUGGGGAGGACAGCACACUCUCUCCCUUGUUUGACUUGGAACUCCUGCCUGAGUCUUGCAAGAAGCAAUAUGUUGAAUUUUAAAAGAGGUGAAAACUACGUCAGUUACUGAGAGAGAAAUCUGAAAGAGCUAUAGCCUAUCUUCCUUUGCUGGGAUCUGGCCUGGGGUAUGGAGGCAGGUGCUCACUGCCACGGGAGUCCUCUGGAAACUGACUUACUUGGAAAGGGCAGGACUUCUCGCUGAAACAGUCUCUGCAGUUUCUCAAAAGUGGGUGGGGAUCCUGGGCCCCCAUAACAUGUCUACAUGGUUAAGAAGAAUGAGACAUCCAACCAGCAUUUAGGAUUGCAGAGAUUUGAAGGAGAAGCAGUUCAUUAUAGGAUCAUAAAGGGGCCCCCGUUCCUUGACAUGCUAACAUGGGAGCACACAGGUUCCCACACAAACCCCUAACACAUGGCAGGUGACUUGCAUAUGCACCCACACCUCCAUGGACAUGU